rnacentral:sRNA from 1 species
GAAAAUGGAAGGCAUGCUAAAACCACGACGUCCUGUCGAAACGCAUGAAUGACCCACUUCCUGUGGG